CAACUCUUAGCGGUGGAUCACUCGGCUCGUGCGUCGAU
rnacentral:rRNA from 1 species